rnacentral:rRNA from 1 species
AAACAACUCUCGGCAACGGAUAUCUUGGCUCGCGCAUCGAUGAAGAACGUAGCAAAAUGCGAUACUUGGUGUGAAUUGCAGAAUCCCGUGAACCAUCGAGUUUUUGAACGCAAGUUGCGCCCGAAGCCGCUUGGUUGAGGGCACGCCUGCCUGGGUGUCACGCAU